CUAUUAAUAGUUCUACUUCUAAAGCCUUUAUUUUCUAAUUUUUAUACACACAAUCAGAUUCUAAUAAACCAUUAGACAGAGUUUUUACUACUAACACUUCCCCUAAGGUUCAGUCCUAAUAUCUAAUUUUUAAGCAAAUGAACAAAAAACGAAAGAAUGGCUAACACUUUUAUCAAUAAGAGCUCUGGCAGAAAUAUCAUAGAUAAAAAGUAUACC
rnacentral:lncRNA from 1 species